CGGGGCGGGGGCAUGGAGGGGCUCUCGGGGGAGGAGCUCGUGGUGCUGCCGGCACGCACGCAGAGGCGAGGCGUGCGGUGCGGUGCGGUGCGGUGCGAGCGAGUGGUGCUUGUAGGAGCUGAGCUGGAUGCUGUGGCAGGCAGCUCCCAAUGAAUAUCUUGGCCCCCACAGCCACUGCGGGCUGUGCUCUGCUGGCUUGGCACCGGGAGGACAGCCCCGAUGAGUGGGCACGGACGCAGCCACGGUUGGCAAGAAGGACAAGCGGGUGCUGUCCUAGCAGUGUCUUCCCACAAGGAUCAAGCUUCCUGCGUAUGGCCGUAGCACCCCUGAUGCUCUCGGCAGGCACGGCAGCCUGUGGCCCGCAUCAGGUAAUGUUGGAAUCCCAGCAUGGGACCGCACAUGGGAAGAGGCACUGGAUGCUGAAAUGGAAGCCAUGGCUUCUGUCUCGCAGGAGGCAGGCGUAGUCAGGUGCGCUUUGGAGCCUGCUGUUGUUUGCACUGGCCUCAGGAGAUGCCAUCACAGCGAGCGGCUGUGUGCUGCGUGUCCCAGGCUGAGAAGGGGAUUCCCUUGUGGAAGGAGGGCGAGGGUGAAGGAGGCUGAGGGCCCUUUUGUCGGGGCCGGCUCCUGUGUGCCCUCUUGCUGGCGCGAGAGAAGGGCUGCC
ensembl:lncRNA